UCUUGAAGCACGGACCAAGGAGUCUAACAUGUACGCGAGUCAUUGGGACCGCAAUAAACCUAAAGGCGAAAUGAAAGUAAAGGUCGCGGCGCAAGCCCGGCCCACAGAGGGGAGAUGUUUGUGGCGUCCAUUGUGUCGCCGACGGACCGCAUCCCCGGGGCGUCUCGUUGUCAUUGCGACACAGUAGGCGCACCCAGAGCGUACACGUUGGGACCCGAAAGAUGGUGAACUAUGCCUGGUCAGGUCGAAGUCAGGCUGGCACUCGGAGACUUAAAUGAGUAAAGUGUCGCAGUUGUCUCGCACAAUGGGCACACUACCAGUCUCAUCUGGUAAAGCGAAUGAUUAGAGGCCUUGGGGCCGAAACGACCUCAACCUAUUCUCAAACUUUAAAUGGGUGAGAAAAUCGACUUGCUUAAAUGCAUGAAGUCGAUGUGCGCUUAAUUGUGCACGCUAAAGUGGAUGAGUGAGUGCCAAGUGGGCCAUUUUUGGUAAGCAGAACUGGUGCUGUGGGAUGAACCAAACGUCUAGUUAAGGCGCCUAAAACGAUGCUCAUGGGAUACCAUGAAAGGCGUUGGUUGCUUAAGCGAUGUUGAUGUGCAGUCGAAAAAACCUGAUCCUCGUGUUACCAUGCAUGUUGCUUCGACGGUUUGACCACAUCGGGCGAAAGGGAAUACGUUUCCUAUUACGUAACCUCGUAGCGGAACCGACCAUGCGGGCCAAUGCGAAACCGCGAUUCACCGUACAUACCGCCGUAAGUCAGCUCCGGUUGGCUUGCGGAAAUGGCGUGCGCGUCGCGAGUCUAGCAACUCGUCGGGGUAACCCAAAAGGACCCGGAGACGCCGCCGGAUGAUCGAGGCAGAGUUUUCUGUUCUGCAUAAGCAUUCGAGUUCCCUGGAAUCGCCUAGCGCGGAGAUAGGGUUUGGAAUGCGAAGAGCACCGCACUUGCGGCGGUGUCUCGAUCUAUCUCGCGGACCUUGAAAAUCCGGGAGAGGGCCACGUGGAGGUGUCGCGCGAGAU
rnacentral:rRNA from 1 species